rnacentral:lncRNA from 1 species
UUUGUGCUCUAAUUUCUCAAAUCGGAACCUUUCACUCCACCGCUCCAACCCCUAAUUCCUAUCAACGCUUUUGUUGUCGUCACUCGCCAGGUACUUUGCCAUUUUUCACAUGUUUUGUGAUUUUUUAUUCUAAAUUCGAUUUUUUGUAAAUGUGUUUGUGGUUUCACUGUUGGUAUUACGGUUGUUGUUGUUCUUGUUUUGAGGAAGUUGAGAUUGGUUUUUAGUUUUGUUUUUGAAUUUGUGGUGUUGUGUUUGUUAGGGUUUUGAUUGAGAUUUGUUCCGCAGGGGUUCGAAGAACAAGUAGUUAGAGAAAGAUGCUAGAGAAUCUUCUGGUUCCUCCAUCGACAACGGAAUCGGCCCCAGUGCUGAAGCACUAAGUUUUACUCCUUAUUUUCUCCCUAUCUUUUUAUUCACCUGCACUUUGCUAACUUUUUUUUUCUUUUUUCAAAUGGGUAUUUAGUAAUGUCAAGAAAUAUAGCCC